GACGAACGCUGGCGGCGUGCUUAACACAUGCAAGUCGAACGGAAAGGCCCUUCGGGGUACUCGAGUGGCGAACGGGUGAGUAACACGUGGGUGAUCUGCUCUGCACUUUGUGAUAAGCCUGGGAAACUGGGUCUAAUACCGAAUAGGACCACGCGCUUCAUGGUGUGUGGUGGCAAGCUUUUGCGGUGUGGGAUGGGCCCGCGGCCUAUCAGCUUGUUGGUGGGGUAAUGGCCUACCAAGGCGACGACGGGUAGCCGGCCUGAGAGGGUGACCGGCCACACUGGGACUGAGAUACGGCCCAGACGCCUACGGGAGGCAGCAGUGGGGAAUAUUGCACAAUGGGCGCAAGCCUGAUGCAGCGACGCCGCGUGAGGGAUGACGGCCUUCGGGUUGUAAACCUCUUUCAAUAGGGACGAAGCGCAAGUGACGGUACCUAUAGAAGAAGCAACGGCCAACUACGUG
rnacentral:rRNA from 1 species